ACGAACGCUGGCGGCGUGCUUAACACAUGCCCGUCGAACGGAAAGGCCCUGCUUUUGUGGGGUGCUCGAGUGGCGAACGGGUGAGUAACACGUGAGUAACCUGCCCUUGACUUUGGGAUAACUUCAGGAAACUGGGGCUAAUACCGGAUAGGAGCUCCUGCUGCAUGGUGGGGGUUGGAAAGUUUCGGCGGUUGGGGAUGGACUCGCGGCUUAUCAGCUUGUUGGUGGGGUAGUGGCUUACCAAGGCUUUGACGGGUAGCCGGCCUGAGAGGGUGACCGGCCACAGUGGGACUGAGAUACGGCCCAGACUCCUACGGGAGGCAGCAGUGGGGAAUAUUGCACAAUGGGCGGAAGCCUGAUGCAGCAACGCCGCGUGCGGGAUGACGGCCUUCGGGUUGUAAACCGCUUUCGCCUGUGACGAAGCGUGAGUGACGGUAAUGGGUAAAGAAGCACCGGCUAACUACGUG
rnacentral:rRNA from 1 species